rnacentral:lncRNA from 1 species
CUGUGUGUUUGUGUGUGUGUGUAUCCAGUGUGUGUGUGUGUGUGUGUAUCCAGUGUGUGUGUGUGUGUGUGUGUGUGUGUGUGUGUAUCCAGUGUGUUUGUGUGUGUGUAUCCAGUGUGUGUGUCAAGCGUGUGUGUGUGUCAAGCGUGUGUGUCCAGUGUGUGUGUGUGUGUCCAGUGAGUGUGUGUGUGUCCAGUGAGUGUGUGUGUUGUGUGUGUGUGUGUGUGUGUGUCCAGUGUGUUUGUGUGUGUCCAGUGUGUGUGUGUGUCCAGUGUGUUUCCAGUGCGUUUGUAUGUCCGUUUGAGUGAGUGUGUGUAUGUCAUUCCAGUGUUUGUGUUUGUCCAGUUUGAGUGGGUGGCCAGUGUGUGUGUGUUUCAGUGUGUGUGUGUGUGUGUGUCCAGUGAGUGUGUGUGUGUGUGUGUGUGUCCAGUGAGUGUGUGUGUGUAUGUGUGUCCAGUGAGUGUGUGUGUGUAUGUGUUGUGUGUGUGUGUGUGUGUGUUUCAGUGUGUGUGUGUGUGUGUGUGUGUGUGUGUGUGUGUUCAGUGUGUGUGUGUGUGUGUGUGUGUCCAGUGUGUAUGUGUGUGUGUGUGUCCAGUGUGUGUGUGUUGAGUGUGUGUGUCCAGUGUGUAUUUAUGUGUGUGUCCAGUGUGUGUGUGUCCAGUGUGUGUGUGUCCAGUGUGUGUCCAGUGUGUGUGUGUGUGUGUGUGUGUGUGUGUGUGUGUGUGUGUGUGUGUGUGU